rnacentral:rRNA from 1 species
CUGACCCUUCCGUGCGAGCAAACGCCAAUAAGUGAUCCACUGGGGAGUACGGCCGCAAGGUUGAAACUCAGAGAAUUGACGGGGGCCGCACAAGCAGUGGAUUAUGUGGUUUAAUUCGAAGCAACGCGAAGACCCUUACCAGGUCUUGACAUCUCCUGAAUAGCCUAGAGAUAGGUGAAGCCCUACGGGGCAGGAAGACAGGUGGUGCAUGGUUGUCGUCAGCUCGUGUCGUGAGAUGUUGGGUUAAGUCCCGCAACGAGCGCAACCCUUACGAUUAGUUGCUACGCGAGAGCACUCUAAUGGGACUGCCGUUGACAAAACGGAGGAAGGUGGGGAUGACGUCAAAUCAUCAUGCCCCUUAUGACCUGGGCUACACACGUAAUACAAUGGCGGUCAACAGAGGGAAGCGAAACCGCGAGGUGGAGCAAAUCCUCAAAAGCCGUCCCAGUUCGGAUUGCAGGCUGCAACCCGCCUGCAUGAAGUCGGAAUUGCUAGUAAUCGCGGAUCAGCAUGCCGCGGUGAAUACGUUCCCGGGCCUUGUACACACCGCCCGUCACACCAUGGGAGUCGGUAACACCCGAAGUCAGUAGCCUGACCAGCAAUGGGGGGCGCUGCCGAAGGUGGGAUUGAUGACUG